rnacentral:rRNA from 1 species
CCCUUAGAUGUUCUGGGCCGCACGCGUGCUACACUGAGUGGAUCAGCGGGUCAGGUUGCGCGAAAGUGUUUCCUAAUCUUUAAAUCCGCUCGUGAUGGGGAUUGACGGUUGCAAUUUUCCGUCAUGAACGAGGAAUACCUUGUAAGCGCGGGUCAUCAUCCCGCGCUGAAUACGUCCCUGCCCUUUGUACACACCGUCCGUCGCUCCUACCGAUUGAGUGGUCCGGUGAGGCUUUGGGAUCUGAGCGGAAAGAGCGUUUCGCUGUUUCUGCCCGGAAAACUCAGUCGAACCUUAUCAUUUAGAGGAAGGAGAAGUCGUAACA